UUUUAUCAUGCUAGAUAAGAUUUUAUCAUGUUAGAUAGUUGUAUCACAGCAAAAUAACUUGUUGACUGACAGCAUAUGUAUGUAUAUCCACACAUCAUGUGUAAAUAAUAUUCAAAAUGCUAUAAUGAAUUAAACUUAUGAAGACACGUGCAUUUAAAAAACCUAAAGAACAGAAUAUCUUUUCUUUUUUAUGUUUGUAGCAUAUACAAAUUUGAGAAUCUUCAGCCAGGCACUGAUUUCUUAAUCAGUAUUGUGACAACCAAUGGACUAAAAAGAAGUCGUCCCACCAUACUCAAGAUUAGCACCUAUCCUGAUCCACCAUCAGAUUUACAGGUGUUUGGGCAAGAAGAAAAUGCAGUCUAUUUGUCUUGGAAACUGCCAAGAGGAGGAUUUGAUAUGUUUCAGGUUUCAUAUUGUCUGAUGAAUAAUGAAAAGUUGCUUACCACAACUGUUUAUGAUAGCAGAGCUGUAGUGAAAAAUCUGGUCCCUGGGAUGGAAUACUUGUUUCAGCUAAGGACAGUUAAAGGUUUGGAUUCCUCUGUGGCUGUGGAGAAAAGUGUCAUCACAAAACCAGCUGGGAUCUGCGGUCUUACAUUAAAAACGGUAAAUACUUCAUCAGCAACUUUAAUGUGGAAUCCAACCAAGACUAACUUCACUUCUUAUAAAGCAUCUUUAUCAAACAACACCUUUAUAAACAAAUUUAGGAUUCCAGGAGCAGUGUCUAACUUCAGUGUUACAAAUCUGACUGCUGGUGGCAUUUAUAAUUUCACUCUGCGAAGACUACAAGGCAAUAUUGAAGGAGCUUCUGCUUUCAUUGAAAUUGUAACAGGUCUGUAUGGUUUCUUUUUCUCCUUGUUGGUGAAUGGUAGCUGUCGAUACCAGUUUUACACACUUUUAGCUUUGUGUGUAUCACCUUGUUCAAUAACACGGGAAUUUCAAGGGAGACUGCAUGUAAUAUGUUACUGUGGUCAUGGACAUACAUUAUUUAUACCCUAUGCAACAUGUGUCAAGUGAUACACUACCAGAAACGGUAUUCUUUGUCUGCACUGCAUGUCUUUUGACCAUUUUUACUAUCUUCAUUAUUUCACAGGUCUUCAUCCUGUAAAGAGUUAUGCACAAAUUGAGCUCUACCUCAUCUGAUUUCAGUAGUUUUUUCACUGUAAAUUAAGUAAAGUAGUUUUACAAAUGCUUGUAGAGUUAAGGGUUUAGAUUGUAAACAGUUCCAUUCAAGGACUGUUUCUUACUAGAACUGUGAUUAAAGCACCAGGGUAAAAACUCAAUCUUGACCAGUGUGUCUACAGUUUAAUGUAAUGUAAUAAUAUGAAAUAAAGAUGAACUUUAAAAGACA
rnacentral:lncRNA from 1 species